rnacentral:tRNA from 1 species
ACCUGGGUGACUCAGUCGGUUAAGCGUCUGACUUCAGCUCAGGUCAUGAUCUCCCAUCGUGGGUUCAAGCCCCACAUCAGGCU